AGUGUGCCCAAUAAAGUGGUUGUUGUACCCUUGGAACUGUCUGUCGUUUGAGGGAAAAUGGAUCUCUUACUUCAUUAAUAGUGGGGGUAACCAGCCGGGUUACCCAGGGUCCGCUACAUGAACCAUCCAGUGCUGAAUGCAUUGCCCACCACUCUUGCAGCCGGAUUGGUGUUGAACCCCUUAAGGACGGCGGGCCCAAUCCAUUCUAUGUUCUUACCCGGUCACCGGCGAUCGCGGUAUGGGGCUUACC